rnacentral:misc_RNA from 1 species
GUGAAUCAUCAAAUUUUUGAACGCAAAUUGCACUCCCUGGUAUUCCGGGGAGUAUGCCUGUUUGAGGGUCGUUAGAAUCAAAAACCCAUGCAUCGUUCUUUUUUUUAAGGGAGAUGGCGUCGGAAUUGAGCCGUCUUUCGAAUGUUUAUUCAUGUCAAAGUUGCUUGUAUUUCAACCACCCGGUACGAUUGUAGCGUUC